UGUAUCUCACCCACGCGGCAGCCCUCGGCGACCACGCGUCUUUGUCUGCGAGGUUCUUGGGAAAAGGAAAGUUCGCGACAGGGAACACGCUACUGACCCAGACGGUCCCUAGCGUGUUGGCCUGCCUGGAUUUGUGCCGCGGCUUCACGCUCUGCGUCGGCUUCAGCUACAAUGGAGUUUCGUGCGAGCUCAGAGACACCGCGUCCAUCCUCUCCGCGUCGACAGGUUGGGUCACAUACCUCAUCACUCAACAGCCUGA
rnacentral:lncRNA from 1 species